rnacentral:rRNA from 1 species
UACAGAGGGUGCAAGCGUUGUUCGGAAUUAUUGGGCGUAAAGCGCGUGUAGGCGGCUUUGCAAGUCGGGUGUGAAAGCCCUCAGCUCAACUGAGGAAGUGCGCCCGAAACUGCAGAGCUUGAGUACCGGAGAGGAUAGUGGAAUUCCCGGUGUAGAGGUGAAAUUCGUAGAUAUUCGGAAGAACACCAGUGGCGAAGGCGACUUACUGGACACAUAUUGACGCUGAGGUGCGAAAGCGUGGGGAGCAAACAGG